GUGUGUGGUAUAUUUAUUGAAGUUGAGGGAUGAUAAAUGAAAUUUAGCCAUAAGUUAACCUAGAAACCUGUAAUAGCAAGUCAUAGGGAAUUUUAAUGAUACUCAAAUUAAAAUUAAGGGAUUUUUAUGAUAUAAAUUAGAGUUGAGUGAUAGUACUCAUAUAAUCAAGUUGAGGAACUAUGAGUAAAAUUAACCCUCCACAGUAAUUUAUUAGAAUUGUUCAUACCUUGUAAAAUGACAAUGGCAUAAAAAUGUUAUGUAAAUCGCCAUUAUGUCACGUAAUAGCGUGAAUAUAGAUUAUA
rnacentral:misc_RNA from 1 species